rnacentral:lncRNA from 1 species
UUUUCUUUUUUUGAUUUUUAAUGGUAAAACCCCUCAACUAUGUUUACUUAAUGUAGAAACCCUCAAACUAAAGAUUUACCGGUAGUAAUGGUAAUUAUGACCUGUUAGGGUUUAAUUCAUUAAAUAAAGUUAGUUCGAGGAUUUUUUCGUUAAAUAAUUAGUUUGAGGAUUUUUACUCAAAACAAACUUAGUUGAGGGGUUUUCAGGUUAAAAAUCCUAAUAGUUAUGAUGAAUAAAGCAGUCGUUGGUACAUAAAAAUGGUAAUCUUUCAUGAGAGAGAUUACGGUGAUUGUGGUGGUGCUCAUGGUGAUCACCGACAUAAUUAGUGUGGGUUGAUGAAAGACACAUUAUAAAUAGAAUGGAACAUAUCAAAUAGUAUAAUACAUAUUGUUUAUAUUUUAAAAUAUAUAUAAUUGCAGGGAAAGAAGAGGCAAUCCUUACUCUAACAUCAACUCGAACCUUCCGUAAACUAAACCUAAAACACUAAUCACUAAACCAUAAAAAGAAAUAUAAACCAUAACCAAAAUAUCAAAAUAUGCACAUAGUACAUAAUAUGAAACAGUGUCAUAAUAGAAUAGUAACAAACGAAAUAGCAUAGUACAUAUUGUUUAAAUUUUGAAAUAUCUAUGAUUGCAAGGAAUGAGGUAAUGGAUACCCCAACGUAAACCCAAAACUUCCAUAAACUAAACUCA